UCCUCAGUAGCUCAAUGGUGGAGCAACCGGCUGUUAACCGGUAGGUUACAGGUUCGAGCCCUGUCUGAGGAGCCA
rnacentral:tRNA from 1 species